rnacentral:lncRNA from 1 species
ACAUUUGGGCAGUACGCAUUCGGAGGGCUCUCUGGCUUUCCGAUCUUGGGUCGCUGUACUUGGCUCUGAAUACAGUCACCCCAUCAGAGUAGCAAAACACUGUGGUUGUAGUGUGAGAAUCCAAUGUUAAUGUUGGCCGAAAGCUCUUGAUUUUCUUCCCUGAGAACAUAGGCGUGAGGAUUUGGAUGUGUUUCCAAAUGCUUGUUACUCUUUGCCGUAAACCUGGAAUUUGGACCUAUGGCUGCCUGGGACUCAUACUGUCGUGGAGAAAGAUUGAAAAGUAGUUAAUGGCAGUGGUGGUAUGAAGGUGAUGCCACACUCAAUCAGAAACUAUGCUACUGCUGAAGAGGUAUAUUGAGCCCUGCCUGGUUAACCUCCAGUGAGGUUAUUAGAGAAUUGGGAGAGGCUCAAAUCAGCAUCCUGCACCUAGUUAUCAAACCAUUGUGAAGUCUUGAUUCCUGGAUGGCCAGAAAACUUGUCAUUGGUCAAGAGCAACAUUAAGAUCUGCCUGUUACUCAUACUGAUGCUUCCUGCCCAGCAAGUUCAUCAGAGGGCGAGGAUGAAUUACGGUUGCCAUGAAUGUCCUUGUGAGGCAGUUGGGAAGCCUUGGCUGGAUUGUGAAGGAUAUUUGAAAAGUAUUUUAGAGUCCACCAGAUCAUCCAUGUGAGUGACCAUGCAGCAAAAGAAGGAGGGUCCUCUCAGUGAUUAAGGAUUAUGAAGUAUUAAUUCUUCCACUGAUAUCUCAAAAGGUGAUCUGGACAAAGGAACAGGUAUCUCAGCUAUUAUUGUUAGAUCUUGGGACACCCAGCACGUGACAAAAACAACAGCAGACCCUGGUGCCUGGGAGGACUUCAUGGAUCCAGCAGCAACCUGGAGUGGUGCUCCUCUGAAGAAAUCCUACUCGGAUGGAUAUAAUACAACCUGCUAAGUGUCCUAGCACUUAGCAGGUUGUAUUAUCAUUGUCCGUGUCUAUGGCUCUCGUCUACCAGACUUUAAAUUCCUUAAGGGCAAGGACAGUGCCUUACUCAUCUUUGUAUUCACAGUGCCUAAUCCGGUGCACAUUGUAGGCCUCAUUAAAUGUUUGUUGAAUGAAAAAAUGAAUCAUCAACAGACAUUAAUUGGGCGCCUGCUCUGUGAUCUCCAUGGGCUCAGCUUGUCCCCGCCAGUUGCCAACAACGUCCAAGCUCUCUUCAGAAUGCUUACUCCUGAAGCUUAUUCCUGUCUUCUAAUUCUUUUGUUGAGGACUUUUCUGUGUAGUGCAAUGAUAGCAAAUACACUUCAUCUCAAGUACCAUCUCCAAUUGAUUGAUAAUGCCUGCCCUGAUUAUGUUUUAUAACAAGAUUCUGAAACCAGGUCUUAUCUCAGUGUGAAAGACAUUUAUAACUAUUUAGUGAUGUCUGCUGAGGGUCGGAGAAGGGGGAGUAGCAGCACAAGUGCCUCAUAUGUCAUAUUUGCUACUCUGUUUUCUAUGAAAUACUUCAUUUCUAUGCCUGCAUUUUGGUCUUAGCUACUUGCUGAUGUUGCAUGGCUGUUGCUGCUACUGUAAUUGCUGCUAAUUGCUCCCUGGGUUGGACCAGAGUGCUCAUUGUCUGAACAGAAACCUCAUCCUCACAGUCUGAGGUUUGCUCCUGUGGCUGAUAUUUAAAGUUUUCCCCUUUCAACUUUACUCCAGCUAUCCCCUUACCUGCACUGACAGGUAAUCCUCCACCGUCCUGUUCACCUCUCACCAGGUUCAUAUUUUCUUUAUCUUAUUUAUUGUACUUAAUCAUUAUUUUGUGAGAAGCUUUUCUGAUUGUAGAUGUGACAACCAGAAUACAAGUUAAAACCACUUAUCCAGCGCCUUACAGUGAAUCAUUUAACAUGAGAAAAAAAUUGAGUGUGUUUGCAGACCAUGGGGCAGAAGGAAUUGAGAAGGGAGUCAUUGUAGAUGUGAGAAAGAGAGAGAUGAUAAUAGAUGGAAGAUGAUCUUGAAAGAUGAUGCAGGUGAAGCUGGAAGGGUGAAAUUUAUGGCUCUAGAACACAUGCAGGUGGAGGGUUAGCCUUAGGUAAGUGGAACUACCUCUUUGCUGGAGCACAGAGAUAGGGAUAGGAGUAAGGAAGAGGACUUGGCAAGGGUGGUGAAGAUUUGUAAUUGUAGAGGUGGAUGAUGGGGAGGAAGCUGACCAGGAACAGGAAUAUGAAGACAAAAGCUGCUGGAACAGAAAUACUAGAGGGCUAAAUAUGAACCAGAGUCCCUAAGGAAUAUUCAGGCCAAAACGCUGGAGUGAGACCAUUAACAGGAGAGCUUAUGGUAUAUCAAAGUAAGAAAUGAGUUUGAAACUGGGUUAGAAGCUCAGGAAAAUAUGAAGUGGUUUUGGGGCAUUGUCACUAGCAGUAUUUGGUUGCCUUGAUUGAUUGAGGGGUGGACAGCUAGCAAGAGACGAGUUACACAGAAAUGGAUUUAAGAAUCCAAACUAAGGCCGGGCGCGGUGGCCCACACCUGUAAUCACAGCACUUUGGAAGGCCAAGGUGGGCAGGUCACCUGAGGUCAGGAGUUCGAGACCAGCCUGACCAACAUGGUGAAACCCUGUCUCUACUAAAAAUGCAAAAAUUAGCCAGGUGUGGUGGCACAUGCCUGUAAUCCCAGCUACUCAGGAGGCUGAGGCAGGAGAAUCACUUGAACCCAGGAGGCGGAGGUUGCAGUGAGCCGAGAUCCCACCCACUGUACUCCAGCCUGGGUAACAGAGUGAGACUUCAUUUAAAAAAAAAAAUCCAACCUGGACAUGGAAGGAAGUAAGGUCAGGAGUGGCCUCAGUCUGGGCCAAAAAGAGGCUUUAAUGUGAACAAGGUGAGUGCUGAGUAAUUGGAAAACUGGAGUGAUAGGACCUGUAAUCAGAGUAGACUUUGGAGUGUUAGAUUUCAAAACUGGAGUGGUUAAGAUACCUGUGAAGCUAGGAUGUCAGAUGAUCAUUUACAUGACUAUUAUAGUAACCCAGGAUUAUAGUAGAAGCUAGGCUUAGAAUGAACACUGGGCCAGGUACAAAAGGCUUCAGUGACUGUGAGGAAUGACUUGGAGGUUGGCACAUGUUAACUGCAAAUACUAGAGAAGAAAGGCUGUAGUGGGAUAGUAGAUGAGCCUUAGAAGAGUGGGGGGAUCCAGGUGAUUCCUUCUUUUAUUGAGUAUUUGCUCUAUGCCUGACACCUUGCUAUAUGCCAUCUGUUCCCUCUUUUGGGUCUGUCACACUUCAGGAGUGGGAGAAUGCGCAAGAAUUCCUGGUGAGAACAGCUAGGGGAGCUGUUGGCCUUUAGCACUGCUGGAAUCCUGUGGCCGUCUCCUAACUCUUUCAAAGAGCUGCAGGCUGGUCAGCUUGAAGUGGCAUAAAAAGAUUUAUUUAGGAUCUAAAUUUUUCCUUGAUCUUGACCUAAGUUAGUUACAUGUUACAAGCAUUUGUUGGCCAUGUUCCAUAAUGUACUUUGGCUUCUGAGCCUCUGAGUUGAAGAGUGAGCUAGUGCUGCUCUUAAAAAACAACAACAAAAACAAAAAACCAGUCAUAGUACACACAUGUUGAUUAACCGGAGCAAGACACAAUCCUAUUAAUUCAGCUUUUUAGGAUAAAGGGUAGACAAAAGAAAGCUCACAUCAAUAGGUGAGUAACAACUACUUUGUAAAAGCCACUCUAGGGUCAGAAUACAUCCAGUUUAGUGGUCCAUAUUGUAGAAUUUCCCUGUGCUGUUAGGGAAGAGGGCUGGCAAUUGAGGCACAGAGAUGGCCUUAAGGACAAGGAAGGUAAAGCUUAGGAGAAGAGAGUCUAUAAAACCUCUGACAUGGCAUGCAGACAUUUUUCUUUUGAGUACAUUUUACUGGGGAGAGGAUCCAUGUCUUUUAUAUUCUCCAAAUGACUCAAUAUUCCAAAAGAAGUUUAAGAACUACUGUGUUAAAGUGAUCAGGCCCUCAGACAACCCAUCCCCUCUUGUAGGGGCUGCUUUGUAUUUAUUCCUCAGGAGGAGCUGGUAGAAGACUUAAUGUGAGGGAGAAGAAAAGGAAAGAAGUAGCGGGGGAUGACUACAACCUCUCUUCAUCUCAGCUUCACAAAGCAUCAUUCAACAAAUGGAUCACUAUUAAGAUCCUCUCCAGAUCACAGGUUGCUAUUUUCAAAUGCAUGCUUAGAUUUCUCUUUUCUCUUGUCGCAUUUCAGAAGUUACUGUACUCACCGAUAUGUGUAUAUGAAUAGUUACUUCCCAUACAGCUCCCCAUGUUUACGGGAAAAAAAAUUCUUAAAACAUGGUAGAGUACUUGCUCUGUUUGGCCUUCAAUAAUGUUGUGGAUCCCCACUGCUGGAAUAUAGGCCACCAGAGAUGGGUUUGGAUUUCAGCAAUAAAUGACCCAGCUUCAUAGAAGGAGAGUAGUCAGCUGAUUUGAAAGUAAACCCAAUCCUUGUGCUCAUAUUUGUUUACUUUUUCCUUAAGCCUUAUAAGUAAGACAUAUCACUGAUGAGAUCAAACAAAAGCCAUAACUUUCUCCUUCCACUGGCACUUUUCUUUCCCACGUAUAUGCCUUUGGGAGCCACCCUCUUCUUUCAUUUGCACUUUCGUCCCAUCACUUAAGACCCAGAGAGGCAUGAAUGCUAAGGUUGAGGUUGAAUUUGUCAUAGUUAUGGCUGGAGUUGAAAAAUACUCAAAUUGAUUACUCUGAUGCCCACGCCUUACCUGAUCUCAUAUCAGCCAUUGGAGAUGUAGUCAAGGCCAGCAACUCUGCGAACUCCAGCCCCAGGAUUUAUGCCUGAUGUCUCAACUGAUCAUGAAAUACUGGUAGGAGGGCUUUCCCCAUCCCAGGUCCCCCUUCUGAUUUGGUCAUCAGAUAUGUCCUUGUUUUAGGACAUACAGAUAUGAACAGAAACAAUAUCAGGAGUCCUGGUUAGUUUUUGUCUCUCGAGGAUGGGCAGGAUAGGUUAUAAGGGAAGUGGAAAUUCUUGUGUGUUUCAAAUACAUUCCUUCUUUGUGGCGGGGAGAUGGAGUCUUGCUCUGUCGCCCAAGCUGGAGUGUAGUGGCGCCAUCUUGUCAUCUUGGCUCACUGCAACCUCUGCCUCCUGAGUUCAAGCAAUUCUACUGCCUCAGUCUCUCAAGUAGCUGGGACUAUAAGCACAUGGCACCACACCCAGCUAAUUUUUGUAUUUUUAGUAGAGAUGGGGUUUCACCAUGUUGGCCAGGCUGGUCUUGAACUCCUGACCUCAAGUGAUCUGCCUGCCUUCGGCCUCCCAAAGUGCUGGGAUUACAGGCGUUAGCCACUGUGCCUGAGUCAAAUACAUUCCUAAUGAAUCCCCAGGAGACCUUUGCUCACAUCUUCUGUCACCUUAUCCUGGCUCUUGCCUCAUUUUUCUUUUCUAGAGUCAUCCUAGGGAAUUUCUUGCCCUCACUGACCUUCCUCCAUUUCUUUCCCCACCUUGAUGAGUUUCAGUAGGUCUUUUUUGCUUUCUCUCGUCCUAAGCCAUUUGUCUCUAACAAGUCCCCAUCUGAAAGUUUUAUUGUGAAUGAGUGAAUGAAACCUUAGAGAGUGUUGCGAGUUACAUUCAUGUUGCCCUUGGAUAUAAAAAGAGAGGCAGAUGCAUUUGCUUUUGGGGUCUUAGUCGUGAAUCCUUUGCCUAGGCCAAUGUCCAGAAAAGUUUUUCCUGGUUAUACUGUAGAAAUGUCAUGGUUUCGGGUCUUAGAUUUAAGUCAUUGUUCUAUUUUGAGUUGAUUUUUGUAUAAGGUAAGAGAGAUGGAUUCAGUUUCAUUCUUCUACAUGUGGGCUAUCUACUUUUCCCAGCACCAUUUAUUAAGUAGGAUGUUGUUUCCCCAGUUUAUAUUUUUGUGUGCUUAGUUAACGAUCAGUUGGUUGUAAAUAGUUGGCUGUAUUUCUGGGUUCUCUAUUCUGUUCCAUUGGUCUAUGUGUCUACUUUUAUACCAGUACCACGGGUACACUAAAAUCUCAGACUUCACCACUAUACAAUUCAUCCAUGUAACCAAAAACCACUUUUACCCCAAAAGUUACUGAAAUAAGUAUUUUUAAAGAUUUUAAAAAAUAGAGAGGAAAGAGGAGGCUAUGAAAUUCCAUAAUGGAGUUACAGAUGCUUGACAUAAUUUAGUGGAUAUUGGAUUUAGAAGCUUACAUGAAUGAGGCAAACCUGAGAUCUGUGAUAUUUGUAAAUGAAGAUAGGAGUGAACUUACUGCCCUUAGGAGUGGAGGGAGGGAAGGAAGGGAGAAAAUGAGAGAUGCCAUAAAAUCUAUUACUUCAAUGGAUUUGAAGUAAUCCUUUGAAGCAGGCAGUGAGACUUACUUCAUAAAUCCAUACCUUUUUAAUGUGGAUUGGAGAGAAGUUGUUGCGCUGUAAUACCUCUGUUGCUACUGUGAGAGUCAUUGCCAGCCACUAUUCUCAUGUCAAGCUGCCCUUGAGGAGGUUUCUCUUGACCCAAUUUAGAAACAACCCAAAACAAGGUUUGUAACUUAGAGGAAUUCUUUGAUUCUGUGACAAGGGGUCUGUGACCCUCUUAAAGGGAUCAAGUACACAGGAGAUAGUACAAGUAGUACUAAAUAGCCAGCUUAAAAAAUUGGAUAGGUGAGAUGAGACAGGAACAGUGGACAGAAUGGCUCUAGGCAUCCCCAAACACCACAUCUGGGAUAAGGAAAUAGUACAAUGGAAAGUCUAUCCUUGGACCUACUAUUUGUCAUUCCCCAUGGCAUGAUGGAAUAUCUAAAAUAAAAAGAGUUGCUUUGGAGAAGGAUUGCAAAAUAUUAUUUCAUAGAAGAGAUUUAGAAGAGGGGAAACUCCCAAUUACAUAAGGUGGGCAUUAUAGCUUCUCAAAACAUUGGUUCCCUAUAUGGGUCAUGAAGAUUGAUCCCAGUAUCAGCCUAUGGCUUACUAGGCCAGUUUAACUGAAAGAUUUAAUGAGCUUGGAAGGAUGCUGCCACCUGCACUCUCACUUUGGCGGGUGUUUAUCACCAGUGAGUGCGGUCCCUAAAGGAGCAAAAGGACAAUAAGCACCCAGUGGACAACAGUGUGGCAUUUUGAGUGAAGAUAGCAACUGAAAAGGUCAUCGGCUUGGCUAGAUUGGGCUGGGCUUGUUUUUUAAAAAUAAAAAAAAAGUUUUCCUUCAUGAUAAAAGUAACAGGUGAUCAUUGUUAAAAAAUAAAGUAUGAAUUAAAAAGUAAAUAAUAUGUAUAAUUUUAUAAGCCAGAAAACUAAUUUGUAAUAUUCAGGUGUAUGUCCUUUCAUUCUUUUUAAAAAUUAUGUAUAUAACACAGUUUUAUAACAAAAUUGACAUCAUAUUGUAUAUAUCAUUUUAUUAUCUAAUUUUUUCAUUUGAAAAUUCACAAGCAUAUUUCCAUGUUAUUGUUCUUUGAAAAAUACAAUAUUAAGUGCUCCAUAAUAUCUUAUGGAUUUAACAAAGUUUAUUUAGAUGAUGUCAUGUUAUUGGACAUUUUGAUUAUUACCAAGUUUGCGUAUAAAAUUUAAAUGUAAUGAACAUCAUUGUACAUUAACCUUUAUGCACAUCUGGAAUUAUUUCUUUAGAAUAAGGUUCCAGAAUUAAAAUUAUUUAGUUUGGAUGAUGAGAGCAUUUAUUAGAGCAUCUGACAGGUGAUGCUGAAUUUUCCUCAAUACAGUUGUGCAAAUUGCAUUCCCACCAGUAGUGUAUAAAUGUGAAUAUCCCUCCAUAUAUUCAUCAAAACAUGGCCUUUCUAAUUUUGUAAAUCUCUGCUAAUUUAAUAGGUAAAAAUAUACCUUUGUUGCUUUAAAAUUUUUAUUUCUAAUUUACACACAGUAAAAUUCACUCUUUUUAGUAUAUGGUUCUAUGGGUUUUGACAAAUGCACAGUCAUGUAUCUUCUACACUAGUACCAUACAGAGAAGUUCUGUCACUUUAAUAAUUUCUCUUGGUGGCUCUUUUUGUAUUCAACCCCUUACCCCAUACUCAAUCUCUGGAAACCAUCAAUUUAUUCUUCAUCCCUAUGGUUUUGCCUUUUCCAGAAGGUCAUAUAAGUGGAAUCAAGCAAUAUGUAGCCCUUUUGGUCUGGCUUCUUUCACUUAGUAAAACGCAGUCAAGAUUCUCCCAUGUUUUGUGGAUAAUUAUUUCAUUCCUUUUUAUCACUGAGUAGUACUUCAUUGUGUGGAUGUACCACAGUUUUAUUAUCCAUUCACUAACUGAUGAACUUGUAAGAUGUUUCUAGUUUUGGUGAAUAUGAACAAAUUUGCUAUAAACUUUCAGGUAUAAGUUUUGUGUGAUAAAUGCUCAUUUUUAUAGGGUAAAUGCUUUGGAGUGGGAAUGAGUGCCAGACUGUUUUCUAAAGUUUCCCUAGCAUUUUGCAUUCCAAUUACAAAUAUGUGAGAGUUCCAGUAGCUUUGUAUCUUUACCAGUAUUUAGUAAUUUUGUAUUAUACAUAUAUAUGUAUGUAAAUAUAUAUAUAUAUUCAUUUAAAUUUUAAUCAUUGUUAGAAUUUGUAAUUCCCCAAUGAUAUAUGGUAUUAUCUUUUAUUUGUUUAUAAUUGACACAUAAUUAUUUAUGGGAUACAUUGUGAUGUUUCAGUACAUGUGUACAUUGUAUAAUGAUCAAAUCAGGAUAUCACCUCAAACCUUAUGAUGAUCUUACAGUUAAAGAUGAUAUAUUCUUGCAAAGUGUCUGUUCAGAUCUUUUGCUCCCCUUUUUAUUGGAUUAUUCCUUUUCUUACUGUUUUUAUAUGUUUUUUAAUAUAUUGAUACAAAUCCUUUGUCAGAUACAUUAUUUGGAAAUAGAUUUUCCUAGUCUGUGACUUGUCUUUUCAUUCUUUGAACACUGACUUUUUUAGAGCAAAAAUUUUAAUUUUGAUACAAUUCACUUUAUCAAUUUUUUUACUUUUGAUGUGCAAUGUAAGAACACUUGUCUAACCCAAUGUCAUGAAGAUUAUAUAUUAUUUUCAUCCAGGAAUUUUAUAGUUUUAAGUUUUACAUUUAUAUCUAUGAUACUUUUUGAAUAAAGGUUUGUAUAAAGUUUAGCUAUGGGUCAAGGUUCAGUUUUUAAAAUAUGGCUAUCUAAUUGUUCUAGUACCAUUUGUUGAAAAGAUUGUUUCUUUUUUAUUGCAUUGCUUUUGCACUUCUGUCAAAAAAUCAAUUGAUUAUAUUUGUUUGGGUCUAAUUCUGGGCUGCCUAUUCUGUUCCAUUGUUAUCCAUUCACAAAUACCACACUUUCCUAAUCAUAGGAAGUCUUAAAAUUAGAUAGUGUGUACAACUUCGUCCGUCUCAAAAAUCGUGUUGAUUACUACUUUGCUUUUCCAGAAAUUUUAGAAUUGUUGCUUUCUAUAAAAAAUUCUGCUAGUAUAUCUGUUGAGUUAGAACUAUAGAUGAAUUUGAAGAAAAUUUACAUCCUCACAAUAUUUUGUCUUUAGGCCACAAACAUGAUAUAGCUGUAUAUUUAUUUUGGUCUUGCUUUUUUUUCCACUUUCAGCAUACAGAUCCUGGACAUAUUUUAUAUUUAUACCAAAUAUUUUAUAUAUUUUCUACUGUUGUCAAUGGUAGUGGUUUUUAAAUUUUCAAACAUUCAUUACUAGUAUAUAGAAAUAAAAUCACUUUUUAAAAAUGUAAUGGCGUUUAUUGUUUUUCAAUUUAAUAAACCACAUUUAGACAACACAAUGAUUAAAAAUGUUGACAAUUGGGACGAUGUAAAUGUAAAGGUAAAGGUAACAAUUUUUACCUUGAUAAUAUAAAGGUAAAAAUGUAGUAGACAGUAUAUGGGGACAGAAGAGGAAGUGUGUAGGAAGGGCAGAGUGGGAAUAUUAAUAGCAUCAUCUUUUAUAGAGAGAACACACUGAUGUGAUUGAACACCAAAUAGGGGUAUAUGCAUCUGAAAGUCACUUUUGGUAUGUUGACCUUGUAUCCUGCAACUUUGCUAAACUCAUUUAUUAUAUGAACUUUUAUGUAUAUUUCUUGGCAUUUUCUACAUACAGUGGUGUCUGUAUAGUUUACUAUUUACAUGUGAAUAUGGAUAGUUUAAUUUCUUCCUUUCCAAUUUGCUUGCCUUUUAUGUCUUCUUGAAAUACUGCGUUGGCUAAGACUUGCAGUAAGAAGUUAAAAGGGAAUGUUUGGAGCACACGUAUUUGCCAAGUCUCUGAUCUUAGUGUGGCUGGGGGGAAGCAUUUAGUAUUUCAUUAAGUAUGAUGUUAGCUAUAGGUUUUUUGUAGAUAUUCUUUAUCAGUUUAAGAAAAUUUCCUACGAUUACUAGAUUGUUCAGAAUUGUUUUAAGAUCAUGAGUUGAUAUUUCAAUUUUGUUAAAUACUUUUUCUGUAUCCAUUAAGAUAAUCAUGUGUUUUUCUUAGUCAGUCAUUGUAGCCCAUUGUAUUGCUUGAUUUUCUUUAUUAAGGUAUAUUCAUUCCCAUAGAAAAUUCAUGGCUUUUUUUGUUGUUGUUUGUUUGUUUUUUGGGGGAGGGGUGGUGGGGGGAAGUAGUACCACUUUAUUCAGUGUUGUAGGAAAUUUCAGGUUACUUCUUAAAAACAAAA